rnacentral:rRNA from 1 species
UACGUAGGUGGCAAGCGUUGUCCGGAUUUACUGGGCGUAAAGAGCGCGCAGGCGGUCGUUCAAGUCGCGUGUGAAAGCCCCCGGCUCAACUGGGGAGGGUCACGCGAUACUGAUCGACUCGAAGGCAGGAGAGGGUAGUGGAAUUCCCGGUGUAGUGGUGAAAUGCGUAGAUAUUAGGAAGAACACCAGUGGCGAAGGCGGCUCACUGGUCCGGUACUGACGCUGAGGUGCGAAAGCGUGGGGAGCAAACAGG